rnacentral:rRNA from 1 species
UGCCUACGGGGCGCAGCAGUGAGGAAUAUUGGUCAAUGGGCUUACGCCUGAACCAGCCAAGUCGCGUGAGGGAAGACUGCCCUAUGGGUUGUAAACCUCUUUUGUCAGGGAGCAACGCCGGCUACGUGUAGCCGGACUGAGAGUACCUGAAGAAAAAGCAUCGGCUAACUCCGUGCCAGCAGCCGUGGUAAUACGGAGGAUGCGAGCGUUAUCCGGAUUUAUUGGGUUUAAAGGGUGCGUAGGCGGGCUUUUAAGUCAGCGGUAAAAAUUCGGGGCUCAACCCCGUCCGGCCGUUGAA